CCUGCCCUGCUGUCGGUGACCCAGCGCUACUUUGACGAGUUAGGAGCGCUCUACCACCCCCUUUCCCAAUCGUUCUUCUCGUCAACUGUCGUGGCUGACCCUUCCCUGUCUCCUCCCCGCAACAACAGCGUUUGCUAAGGAAGCGGCACCCCCAUAGCAACAGGCUCUCAGUGCCUCGGAAUCAACAACACAGAGCCGCCCACGCGGCGGCGGCAAGCUGAGGGAGGCGGAGAUCCGCCUCUUGGUUAGCUGGUUUGAGACAAAUGGCCCUCUCAGUGCAAGCAGUGCAAAAAUUAGAGUGCGGGCCAGCGCUGGCAGAGGAUGGCGGGGCAUGACCCGGGAGCAAUCCAGGAGGAGGAGAAGUGCUGGGUCGGUGACCUUCCCUUCAUCCCAACCACUGUGCAACAGAAAACUGAAAUGAUGUCCUCAUUUGACUGCAAGCUCAUCUCUGCAGGAUAUCGAAGGUCAAGAAUUUGGCUAGGAGUUUCAAAUAAGAAAAGUUCAUCCAACUUCCUGGAAAGAGCUGGUUAAAACAAAGGAAAGGCAUCAACAGUAUGGAAUGAUGUUUUAUUUCACCACUGGCUUAACUGUACAAGCUUGACAAUCUCUAAUAAAG